UUUUACAGGAAGUUUUUAGAGAUCGCAUUAAGGCAUGGAUGUCAAGAGCAAGACUUUUAGAAGCCUUGGGUUCAAAUCCCAGCUUUGCCACAUACUUGAUCAAGUUAUGUCACCUUUCCACAGCCUUAAUGUCAUCCUCUGCAAAGUGAUGGUGACAGAAGGACCUACCUUCCAGGUGUCUUAGAAGAAGGAACUGCAUAACAUGCUUGCCACAGUGCUUGGCACAUAGUAAGUGCUCAGUAAUGUCAACUGCAAUUAUUAUUUCCUCCCUGGCAUACAAAGAAGGCGGGGGGGGGUGUCCAAAAAUAAUAAUGUGCCACAGUUUGAAAAGCAUUUGUUUGAUCUGUCUCUAAAUUCCCAUUUUUCAUGUAGCGCUAACCCUGCAGAAGUGAAAAUACUGUAAAUGUGAAAAAGCCCUGCAUCUCUCAGUGGUGUCUGGACAACCCUGGCAACUCAGAACAUGAAGGAGAGAACAAGAAAUCCCUGUGCUUUUCCUUUUCUUCCUUUCCAAACACGUGUGCAGACUUCCCCUGCAUUUCAGCCCCACCCUCUUUAUUUUACUGCCUAAUCUAUAAAGGAGGAUUAACAGCAGCACGCUGCUUUGGCACAGAGCAGAUUCUGGGAUUAACAGAUAUUUUCCUAAGCAGAAAUCAAAAUGUGUCAAAUCAUCUGAGACAGUCAAUUUGUUCACAAUGCCCACAUUCUUGCCGUACGGAUGCAGCACUAUUCAAAAACAGUUUUAUUUCAAGAGAUACAAUGCAGCAGAGAGCUCUUCCAGGUAGAGUAUUAAUACGCAAGAUCUCCUGCUGGCAGACUCAACAGAAUCUUUCUGGCCGUGAAGUGAAGUCCAAACCUGUAAAAGUGUACCCCCAGAAGAAGAGGAUGACAAAAGGCAGAAGGUGGACAGGAAAAGCCUGGUAAGCAGGAUCACUCUUAGAGUUACAUCUCCAUUGUUCUAUUUCCCCAGUGGGCAUUAUUAUGCAUUUCCCCUUAAGCAUGAGGCCAUGUUAUAGUCUGUGUUUAGCUUUUACUAGUUGCAUGGAUGAACUCACUUAAAAAUAUAGUAGGAUUACAUUCUUGUAUUGUUCAUUGCAGCUACAUAACUGAUAUUUUAUAUAUUGCAUCUUAAAUCUCCUUCUGGAAAUGUAACACACUUAUAACCUCUAUAAUUGGUGUCAUUGUUGACAUUUUUAUUUUCCCUGAAAACAGAUUUGUGAAGUUGUCUCCCCUUACCCACAGUUUCACUUUCUGUGGUUUCACUUACCCGUAGUGAACCACAAGUAGGCUGGAAGCGGAUGAUCCUCCUUGUGACAAAUCAGUGGAAGGUCAAAAACAGCCUAACUUUACGGUCGCAGUGCCUACGUCACUCACCUCAUGUCAUCUCAUCUGUCAGCAUUCUGUCAUCUCACAUCAUCACAAGGAGGGUGAGUAAGUACAAUAAGGUAUUCCGAGAAAGGGAGAGAGAAAGAGACCACGUUCAAAUCACUUCUACUAGAGUACGUCGUU
rnacentral:lncRNA from 1 species